GUGGGUGGAGCUCGAUUGGUUGAGCAGCGCGUUGUGAUCGCGAAGGCUGCGGGUUCGAAUCCCGUCACCCACC
rnacentral:tRNA from 1 species